AUACGGAGGGACCGAGCGUUAUCCGGAAUCAUUGGGUUUAAAGGGUCCGUAGGCGGGAAUCUAAGUCAGUGGUGAAAUCUUGCAGCUCAACUGUAAAAUUGCCAUUGAUACUGGAUUUCUUGAAUUAGUGUGAAGUGAUUAGAAUGUGUAGGGUAGCGGUGAAAUGCAUAGAUAUUACACAGAAUACCAAUUGCGAAGGCAGAUCACUAACACUAUAUUGACGCUGAGGGACGAAAGCGUGGGGAGCGAACAGGAUUAGAAACCCCAGUAGUCC
rnacentral:rRNA from 1 species